GACGAACGCUGGCGGCGUGCCUAAUACAUGCAAGUAGAACGCACAGUUUAUACCGUAGCUUGCUACGCCGUAAACUGUGAGUUGCGAACGGGUGAGUAACGCGUAGGUAACCUGCCUGGUAGCGGGGGAUAACUAUUGGAAACGAUAGCUAAUACCGCAUAAUAUUGAUUAUUGCAUGAUAAUUGAUUGAAAGAUGCUAUUGCAUCACUACCAGAUGGACCUGCGUUGUAUUAGCUAGUAGGUGAGGUAACGGCUCACCUAGGCGACGAUACAUAGCCGACCUGAGAGGGUGAUCGGCCACACUGGGACUGAGACACGGCCCAGACUCCUACGGGAGGCAGCAGUAGGGAAUCUUCGGCAAUGGACGAAAGUCUGACCGAGCAACGCCGCGUGAGUGAAGAAGGUUUUCGGAUCGUAAAGCUCUGUUGUAAGAGAAGAACGGGUGUGAGAGUGGAAAGUUCACACUGUGACGGUAUCUUACCAGAAAGGGACGGCUAACUACGUG
rnacentral:rRNA from 1 species